rnacentral:rRNA from 1 species
AUUCGUCACACUAUCAUUAACUGAAUCCAUAGGUUAAUGAGGCGAACCGGGGGAACUGAAACAUCUAAGUACCCCGAGGAAAAGAAAUCAACCGAGAUUCCCCCAGUAGCGGCGAGCGAACGGGGAGCAGCCCAGAGCCUGAAUCAGUGUGUGUGUUAGUGGAAGCGUCUGGAAAGGCGCGCGAUACAGGGUGACAGCCCCGUACACAAAAAUGCACAUACUGUGAGCUCGAUGAGUAGGGCGGGACACGUGGUAUCCUGUCUGAAUAUGGGGGGACCAUCCUCCAAGGCUAAAUACUCCUGACUGACCGAUAGUGAACCAGUACCGUGAGGGAAAGGCGAAAAGAACCCCGGCGAGGGGAGUGAAAAAGAACCUGAAACCGUGUACGUACAAGCAGUGGGAGCACGCUUCGGCGUGUGACUGCGUACCUUUUGUAUAAUGGGUCAGCGACUUAUAUUCUGUAGCAAGGUUAACCGAAUAGGGGAGCCGAAGGGAAACCGAGUCUUAACUGGGCGUUAAGUUGCAGGGUAUAGACCCGAAACC